AGCAGCCGCGGUAAUUCCAGCUCCAAUAGCGUAUAUUAAAGUUGUUGCAGUUAAAAAGCUCGUAGUUGAAUUUCGGGGUUAGCAGGUCGGUCGUGCCAUUGGUAUGAACUGGUCUCGCUGAUCCCUCCCUCUUGACGAACUGUGAUGCCAUUAAUUUGGUGUCGCAGGGAAUCAGGACUGUUACUUUGAAAAAUUAGAGUGUUUAAAGCAGGCUCACGCUUGAAUACAUUAGCAUGGAAUAAUGAAAUAGGACGUUUGAUCCUAUUUUGUUGGCUUCUAGGAUUGACGUAAUGAUUAAUAGGGAUAGUUGGGGGCAUUAGUAUUCAAUUGUCAGAGGUGAAAUUCUUGGAUUUAUUGAAGACUAACUACUGCGAAAGCAUUUGCCAAGGAUGUUUUCAUUAAUCAAGAACGAAAGUUAGGGGAUCGAAGACGAUCAGAUACCGUCGUAGUCUUAACCAUAAACUAUGCCGACUAGGGAUCGGAU
rnacentral:misc_RNA from 1 species